AGAGUUUGAUCCUGGCUCAGGACGAACGCUGGCGGCGUGCUUAACACAUGCAAGUCGAGCGGUAAGGCCUUUCGGGGUACACGAGCGGCGAACGGGUGAGUAACACGUGGGUGACCUGCCCUCAGCUCUGGGAUAAGCCUGGGAAACUGGGUCUAAUACCGGAUAUGACCUUUCCUCGCAUGGGGUUUGGUGGAAAGUUUUUUCGGCUGGGGAUGGGCCCGCGGCCUAUCAGCUUGUUGGUGGGGUGAUGGCCUACCAAGGCGACGACGGGUAGCCGGCCUGAGAGGGCGACCGGCCACACUGGGACUGAGACACGGCCCAGACUCCUACGGGAGGCAGCAGUGGGGAAUAUUGCGCAAUGGGCGGAAGCCUGACGCAGCGACGCCGCGUGGGGGAUGACGGCCUUCGGGUUGUAAACCUCUUUCGACCUUGACGAAGCCUUUCGGGGUGACGGUAGGGGUAGAAGAAGCACCGGCCAACUACGUGCCAGCCGCCGCGGU
rnacentral:rRNA from 1 species